GUGAUAAGAAGCUGAUAAUCACAGGUAACCGGCAUAACUUCGUUCUCAUUCAUCCUCGCAGCGCCUCAGCGCUUUAAACAGCCGUACGCUGGGCUUCUGCUGACUUCAAUGUGGAAGCUUAAAGUGGGUUGUUCCAGCAGCGAAACUAGACGCUCAUUGGAUAAAUGCUGGGCUUUGUCCCGCCCAUCGGAAGCCCAGCUUCACUGGAGUUCUAUGGCGAGAGGGCGGUCCCGACUUUCUCCCGGACUCCGAGCUUCUGCAUCCAUGAUUGGAUGAGCUGUCUGAGGCGAAAUCCUUUUUUGAUUGACAGCUAAACAAGCGAAUCAGCGAUCUUGAAGAAUAAAACAUCUACCAGAGCAUUUUCCAAGUUAUUCAUUCCGUUGUUCUUAACUGCUCCGGAGACUUUACCGAUCCUCAGCGACUUUUGUCUUUGUUAAAAACGACUGCCGUUGUGUUUGGCGACUCUGUUCUGUUACAUACUAAUAAACAAAUACAAUUAUGAUGUAGGCCAGAAAAAUGAGCUUCCCCUCCUUGAAAGACCAGCAGCCGCCACUGAUAUACACAUAUUUU